UACGUAGGGUGCAAGCGUUAUCCGGAAUUAUUGGGCGUAAAGAGCUCGUAGGCGGUUUGUCGCGUCUGCUGUGAAAACCCGAGGCUCAACCUCGGGCCUGCAGUGGGUACGGGCAGACUAGAGUGCGGUAGGGGAGAUUGGAAUUCCUGGUGUAGCGGUGGAAUGCGCAGAUAUCAGGAGGAACACCGGUGGCGAAGGCGGCAUCCUGGACCGGCAUUGACGCUGAGGCGCGAAAGCCAGGGGAGCAAACGGG
rnacentral:rRNA from 1 species